rnacentral:rRNA from 1 species
UACGGGGGGGGCAAGCGUUGUUCGGAAUUACUGGGCGUAAAGGGCUCGUAGGCGGCCAACUAAGUCAGACGUGAAAUCCCUCGGCUUAACCGGGGAACUGCGUCUGAUACUGGAUGGCUUGAGUUUGGGAGAGGGAUGCGGAAUUCCAGGUGUAGCGGUGAAAUGCGUAGAUAUCAGGAGGAAUACCGGUGGUGUAGACGGCUCUCUGGACCGCCACUGACGCUGAGACACGAAAGCGUGGGUAGCAAACAGG